UACGUAGGUGGCAAGCGUUGUCCGGAAUUACUGGGCGUAAAGGGCUCGUAGGCGGCCAACUAAGUCAGACGUGAAAUCCCCAGGCUCAACCUGGGAACUGCGUCUGAUACUGAUUGGCUUGAAUCCGGGAGAGGGAUGCAGAAUUCCUGGUGUAGCGGUGAAAUGCGCAGAUAUCAGGAGGAACACCGGUGGCGAAGGCGGAUCUCUGGGCCUUACCUGACGCUGAGGCGCGAAAGCUAGGGAGCGAACAGG
rnacentral:rRNA from 1 species